UACAUUUACCUUAUAAAAAAAAAGUUCGUAGAGCUUAUAGAUGUGUCUUUAAUUGUGCUGAUUAGUGCACAUACUUUCGUUAUUAAUUUUUUUAAUUGAUGCGAGCCCUUGCUAGUAAACACUCUGAUUGUCCUGUUUGUUUCACUAUUAAAUUGGGAAAAUUGAGAAUCUAGAGCAUGAUUGGAUGUAUGAUAGGUUGCUUUGUUGAAAGAUGAUCAUGGCCUGGACCAGUGGGAGCUCGUCUGAAGAUGAAGGAGUGCAAUUCUCAAAUCUCGAGCAUUCUCAACGAGCAGCAGCAACUUCAGAAUAAGAUUAGUGAGACCGAUCUUGAGAAGGGAAUGGAAAAUGAGGUGCUAGCAAACCAUGCAAGGAUGUGUAGGCGAGUCCCUUGAUGACUCUGAUCCAGGAAUGUGAAGGGCAAAAAUGUAACUUAGGCUUGCUGAAUCUGACAAAUACUUCGCUACCUAGAAAAGGAUUUUCUCCUACAUUCUACCAAGUGUUUGCUUCUCAGGGAGUAUAUUAGUUGUGGGCAAAUUGCAAUUUGGUUUUCCACAUUCAAAUUUUAAUUUUCUAGUUUAAUAGGAAUUGAUUAGUACUUAAUAAUGUUUUAGCUGAACCUUGUAACUCUCUAGCCUUGCAUUAGUUAGGCUUUUUUUAUUUCAACUUUAUUGGUUGUGUAGAUGUAUUCAAUUUGACUAUAUAAUUGUGAUAUGCAUUUUCAUUGUAAAAUAUUACUAGUUUAUAUGAAUUU